GACAGAGGGUGCAAACGUUGCUCGGAAUUACUGGGCGUAAAGCGCGUGUAGGCGGGACGAUAAGUCAGGUGUGAAAUCCCUAGGCUCAACCUAGGAACUGCACUUGAAACUGUCGGCCUUGAGUGAUGGAGAGGAUGGCGGAAUUCCUGGUGUAGAGGUGAAAUUCGUAGAUAUCAGGAGGAACACCGGUGGCGAAGGCGGCCAUCUGGAAAUCUACUGACGCUGAGACGCGAAAGCGUGGGGAGCAAACAGG
rnacentral:rRNA from 1 species